rnacentral:snRNA from 1 species
GCAGCACAUACAUAUACCAAAAUUGGAAUGAUACAGAGAAGAUUAGCAUGGCCUCUGCACAAGGAUGACAUGCAAAUUCGUGAAGCAUUCCAUAUUAAA